UACGUAGGGUGCGAGCGUUGUCCGGAAUUAUUGGGCGUAAAGAGCUUGUAGGCGGUUUGUCGCGUCUGCUGUGAAAUUUCGGGGCUCAACCCCGAACUUGCAGUGGGUACGGGCAGACUAGAGUGUGGUAGGGGAGACUGGAAGUUCCUGGUGUAGCGGUGAAAUGCGCAGAUAUCAGGAGGAACACCGAUGGCGAAGGCAGGUCUCUGGGCCACUACUGACGCUGAGAAGCGAAAGCAUGGGGAGCGAACAGGG
rnacentral:rRNA from 1 species